CGAUGUCUACUAGCCGUUGGGGCCUUUGAGGCUUUAGUGGCGCAGCUAACGCGAUAAGUAGACGCCUGGGGAGUACGGUCGCAAGACUAAAACUCAAAUGAAUUGACGGGGGCCCGCACAAGCGGUGGAGCAUGUGGUUUAAUUCGAUGCAACGCGAAGAACCUUACCUGGUCUUGACAUAGUAAGAACUUUCCAGAGAUGGUUGGUGCCUUCGGGAACUUACAUACAGGUGCUGCAUGGCUGUCGUCAG
rnacentral:rRNA from 1 species